UACGUGGGCAGCGAGCGUUGUUCGGAAUUACUGGGCGUAAAGAGUGUGUAGGCGGUGCUCUAAGUUCGGUGUGAAAUCUCCUGGCUUAACUGGGAGGGUGCGCCGGAAACUGGGGUGCUCGAGCGUGGGAGAGGAAAGCGGAAUUCCUGGUGUAGCGGUGAAAUGCGUAGAUAUCAGGAGGAACACCUGUGGUGUAGACAGCUUUCUGGACCAUUGCUGACGCUGAGACACGAAAGCGUGGGUAGCAAACAGG
rnacentral:rRNA from 1 species